rnacentral:rRNA from 1 species
CGAUGCAACGCGAAGAACCUUACCAAGGCUUGACAUGCCAGAAGUAGGAACUCGAAGAGAGACCACCUGUAUCCAGUCAGGAACUGGCACAGGUGCUGCAUGGCUGUCGUCAGCUCGUGCCGUGAGGUGUUAGGUUAAGUCCCGCAACGAGCGCAACCCUCGUCGCUAGUUAAAUUUUCUAGCGAUACUGCCCGUAAAACGAGGAGGAAGGUGGGGAUGACGUCAAGUCAGCACUGGCCUUACGCCUUGGGCUACACACACGCUACAAUGGGUGAUACAACGGGUUGCGAGAGAGCGAUCUGGAGCUAAUCCCUAAAAUCAUCCUCAGUUCGGAUUGCAGGCUGAAACUGCCUGCAUGAAGUUGGAGUUGCUAGUAACCGCAGGUCAGCACACUGCGGUGAAUACGUUCUCGGGCCUU